CCUCCCUGUUAAAUCGACCUCCCUGUUAAAUCGACCUCCCUGUUAAAUGUCAUUAGAAACUUUAUAUCACAGACAUAAUUUGUGUUACAAGUAGUUUUAAAAGGACAAAUUCAUAUUUUCCUGAGCGACUUUUUAAAAUCCAUUUACAGUGUCGCAUGCAGUGAAAUUCAAAUGUGGUUUACUUUCUGAAUCGACUCCCACCUGGUCCUGGAGCAUGCAGGCAUAGUGGAACUGGAGGGUACUCAUAGGCUUUGAUAUUAAUUAAUAUAGGCACAUUAUAUUUAUUAAAAUAGGCUGUAAUAUUUCAAUACAUUAUAUUGUUAAUGUGGGCAAUUAUAUUUCAAUACAUUUCUAUGAUUAGGGCAGUAGAUUAUAGUCUUUUAUAGUCUUUUUUUAUUUCAUUAAACAUGCAGUGUAUAGCCUCUAGGGUAAAUGAGUUAGGCGUUGUUGCUGCAAAGGCUUUGUAAUUAAUUUAAGUUAAUUCGAUACAGCCUACCUUUGCUUUGAAAAUAUAAUAUUGCCCUAAUGAAUUUAGGCUACCUACAGGCAUGCUUCUGAUUGAUUUUAGAUUUUGUAGGCCUAAAUAUUGUUAUUUUUACACCUGCAUACAUUUGAAAUGUUGAGUGUUCAUCCCAUACAGGUUUUAUUAAUCUAUGCUAGCAGUCUGCUGGACUCCUGUUUUAUCCAAAAGUAUGAACAGGCAGGGUUGUGUAUGGUACUGUUAAAAUGUCAUCCAGUCCAGUCACUGCUAACAUGUCCAUAUACAGUUACUAGCUUGUUACAUAGGUACUUUAAUCGGUUACUUAAUUUUGGGAUUACCUAAACUCAGUAAUUGAGUAACUAUCCAUUUUAAGAGGCCUUAUGAAAAGACAAGAAGGAUCCAUUCAAAUCCUCCCCCUUUAAGUAAUCAUCAACUUUUUCAAAAUAACUCUAUCUCUAAUCUGAUUACAAAAUGGUUUGCUGUUUGUGUAACUGAUUUCAGUUACAGUUUUCAUAAGCAGAUUACAUGUAAUAAUUGACCAUGUAACCCAGGUUGUGUGAGUGAGGGUCUCUGUUACAACAUAGUGGCUGUUUUUAAACAGUAACUAACGCCUCAUUACACCUAUGAAUAUUCAGUUGCCCUAACGGGCUGCUGUUCGGAGAACUGAAAAUUACUAUCACUUUGAGAGACAAACAAACAUACAUUAUAAUUUGGAUAUAUUAUAAUGUAUAUUUGUAAACACAGUAUUUACAAACACAUUAUUUUAAACCAUAAUAAAAAACAUAUAUAAUGUUCAAGUAGAGCAACUUAAAUUUCUUUAACUCUGCCUAGAUAAACAUUGUCUGAUGGCUAAAAUGCCAAUAUUGAUUACGCUGUAACACAUUCUACACAAUGCUAACAUCGCUAGAUAUGCACAUGUUGCUAAAAGUCUAGUCUGAGGGUGGGUGAGAAUUGUUUCCUGCAUACAGAGAACCCCACUGGCACCAUUUUCACUAUACUUGGUAAAUAAUGCGUCUUGCCAUAGAGAAAUGGCCACCCUAGUAGAUUUUCUGUAUUUUUUAUAUUGUGACAAAAGCUUACUACAUUACUCCUCUGGCACCCGAUGAUGAUCUGCAAAAUAAAACUAUAUGGGGCAUCUAUUGAUAAAUUUCCCUGAAU
ensembl:lncRNA